AAUCAGAAUGUGAAAUACAGUUUGAACGCUACUGUUCAUUUCUAAGAUAUGCCGCUGUUACCUAGGCUGAGAGAGCUGUUGUGUCCCUCACAGCACACAGAUGACAACCUUUUGAUAGUGUAGGGUUAGGUCCCUAACGUGACCCAAGAGCUGCUAACUACGACCUUUUUUUCUCUAUGGCCGCAUAAACUGGCUGUGCUCUUUUGUCAACAUGGACAAUGCAGAGACGAUCCUUGAGGAACAAAAUCAGGAGACGUCAUCACUGGAGGACUGGAACUGAUCAUCGAGUGGGUCAUCCAGAGAGCUCUACUGAUUUAGAUCCAGAACCCAGUGGCUCAAUGCAGGAAAACCAUGAAAUCAGGGGAGAACCAAUCAGUCAAUCAGGACCAACAACUCCUGAGAUGAGCAACACAGAGGUCCUGCAUCCACCAUCUUCCGAUGAUGUUGGCAGUCAUAGUCUGCAAUCGACAAGCAGGCAUAGAUCUGAAGAUGACUGUUUAAUGCCUGUGUCAAAUCAAGAUGCAGACCUGUUGUGAAGUGAAGAGUCAGAUUCCCCUCUUGCCCGUGCCAUCCAAGCAUCUCUUGAGGACUCUGAAGUAAACUUUGGACCCGUUUGUGGUGAUGAUGUUGAUAAUCAAGACUCCACCCUUCCCUGGAAUCCAUAUGACUUCAACAGUAUGCAGCACUCCACACCGAAUGACGGACCUGUAUCAUCAAGCAGUCUUCCAGCAUCACCAGACCCAUUUGAAAAAGACCUCCUUCUUGUGAAAGUAAGACAAGUAAACAGUUGAUGAUGUCCUUUUAUCUUCAUGGAACCAAAACUACUGAAUGCUGAUCUAAAAAUAGAGUUUACAACUGAGAAAGCUUUGGACAGUGAUGGUGUGUCAAGAGAGGUAUACUCUGCGUUCUGGGAAGAUUUCUUGCAACAGUUUGAGGGGGAAGAUGAGUGGGUACCCAGACUACGACCAGACUAUUCUGAGAAGGCAUGGCAAGCUCUUGGAAGAGUGUGGUUGAAAGGAUACCUGGACCACAAAAUCAACCAAUCAGACUAUCACCAGCUUUUGUUCUUGCCUGUUGUCAGGGAUGCCUGUUGUUCAGUGGAUUAAGAACUCUUGAUGAUGUCAUUUGCCAGAUUUCUUUCAGAGAAUGAGUGUGCAUCACUUGAAAAAGCACUACAGGGCAACAUUGAUGAAACUGUUGAAGAGGACUUACUCGACGUCUUCUCAAGAAUGGGCUCACACUGCCUGCCUUCUAAAGACAAAAUACGCGCUGCCAUUUUAACAAUGGCACACAAAGCUCUUCUUCAAGAGCCAAAGUUCAUAAUUGACUGCUUCCACUCCAGUAUUCACAGUGCUGUGCCAACACUCAUAACUAAAGAAAGCAUAAUGAAGCUUUACUAAUCUAAGCGGCUAACUAACAAGAAAGUGGCCCAGAUGAUAAAGCCAUCAACUGAAAGCCUAAACCCACAAGAGCAGACAGCUCUUAACCACCUGCUAUGGUAUGUGAGAAGCAUCGACCAAAGAAAACUAGAGAUCUUCUUACGCUUCUGCACAGUGUCCACUGUGCUGUGCACAGACACAAUUGAAGUAACUUUUAAUAGACUGUUUGGUUUAAGUCGCAGGCCUGUAGCACACACAUGCGGAGCAGUUCUUGAGUUACCAUGCACCUACAGCUCAUACCCUGAGUUUGUCAUGUUUGUUUGCUCAUGUCCUGUGUGGCGAUUGCUUUACAAUGGAUAGUGUGUAGUGAAUGUAAGGGAUCUUACACAUGUUCCUGUUCUACUGACACCAUUAUGGUGAAACUGAAACAAACUGUUCCUACAGAUUUACAUUUAGUUAUAUUUAAAAAUCAUUAUUUGUUCAUUCAUGUGUUACAACUAAGAAAAAGUAUACUACAAGGAGAGGAGAUGAAAUGAGAUGCGUAAUGUGAUGACAUUCCUUUAUUACACUUAAAACUGAAACAAAGAGUUUAGACAUUUUUUGCUUUGUUUUUUUUAUUUUCUUAUUGUUAAUGAUUUUGCUGUAAUAUUUGUCAGAUUUACAUUUUGCUUAAGUCCAGACGACAGUUUAAGUUUGAUCAUUUUGAUAAGUCAUCAAGGUCUGCUCUCAUAGGUGAACAUCCCUUUUUUCAGGCAUGUAUCAUUUUCACAUUAUCAUGUGCAUGUUUUAUGAAAUUGUUAUCAAGAAAGAAGUUCUUUCUUAAUAAUACCUGUUUGAUACGCAUACAGUACCAUUUCAAAUGGCUACCCAUGGUUGUUUCUGUUGGAGCCUGACAUGGUAAACAUACAGACAGUGUCCGACAUUGUAUUGUAUUGUGGAAUAAAAAUGUAAUUCCUCUUUCA